rnacentral:piRNA from 1 species
AAUUGUAUUGUCAGAAGAGACUCAUG